rnacentral:rRNA from 1 species
GACGAAGGGGGCUAGCGUUGUUCGGAAUUACUGGGCGUAAAGCGCGUGUAGGCGGUUGUUCAAGUCAGGUGUGAAAGCCUUGAGCUCAGCUCAAGAAAUGCACUUGAUACUGGAUGACUAGAGGACCGGAGAGGAUAGUGGAAUUCCCAGUGUAGUGGUGGAAUACGUAGAGAUUGGGAAGAACACCAGUGGCGAAGGCGGCUAUCUGGACGGUUUCUGACGCUAAGACGCGAAAGCGUGGGGAGCAAACAGG